UGUUGGGUGGCGUAGUGGUUAGAAUGUUUGACUAAGACUCGGAGACCAGUGUUCAAUCCCUACUCAGCCA